CCAGGCUAGGGGUCGAAUUGGAGCUGCAGCUGACGGCCUACACCACAGCCACAGCAACCCAGAUUCAAGCCACGUCUGCAACCUACGCUACAGUUCAUAGCAACACCGACUGGAUCCUUAACCUACUGAGUGGGGCCAGGGAUUGAACCCUCAUCCUCAUGGAUACCAGUUGGGUUCUUAACCCACUGAGCCACAACAGGAACUCCAGAAAAACCCCUCUUAAAUGGCACACCCUAGAACAGGAGAUUUGGCCCGUGGGCUGCAGUUUGCUAACCCCUGCUCUAUAUAUUCCAGAAAAAACUCCGAAGAUAGUUUAAAGGAGGGAUGUAAAAUGUAAACAUAAAGUGACACUAUGUGUGCACUUGUUUUCAAAAGGAACACACACAUCCACGUCCACCUGAGGCGGGCACAGGACCAGAGUAGCUCCGAGAGGAAAGCUGACCUAUGUGCCUCUGCCUCAGGGGACAGAAACACGAGGACAGGAGGGGGAAGGAGACUUCCCUCGACACCUUUGGGCUCUGCUUUAAUUUUUCACAGGCCCAUGCUUUUUCAUUCAUUAAAAUAAGUUUUUAUAAGGCCAGAAGCAAGUGGCAGGGUUUGAGUGCAUGCCUUUUGGGGUUUCUGUGUUUUUCAGAUGCAAAAUAAAAGGGAUGUUAUCCCCCCCCCAAAAGUUAAUCUAGGAAGGAAAUGGGGGAACUGAGCCAGCUCCCCAGGACAGUGGCCUGAUAGGACCAAAAAGGAGGAGGACAGUCAGCCAGUGGCCUGAAGUCUGGUGUUUGGCCCUGAGUCAACAGAGAAGGCACGGCUCCAAGGCCAGGCUGGUCCUACUAGCCGCCUGGGGCUAUUUAAAUGUAUGAAAAUGAAGUAGCACAUAACAUUCCCCCCCAGAUCACACUAGCUCACUUCAAGAGCUCAAUGCCACAGGUGGAGAGUGGCUAAGCGGGUGGGCAGUCAGGGCAGGUCUGGAAUGUUCGCACCAUCAAAGAAAAGGUCUCCUGGACAGAGGCUGCCCAGGAAGCUGGUGGGUCAGGAAGGGGUGGGAAGAUUAGGAAGGUGGCCGCUGGAAAGUGGACAGAGGGCGGAGGAGCCUGGACCAGCCCUGGGGAGAGCCUCAGGCUUUGCUCAGAAACAAGACCACAGGGGAGGGGUGGGAGGAAGGGUCCCUCCAAGAUGACAGGGCUACGCUGGCACCAAGCAGAGAAAAAACACAUGAAAGGAGGAGGAAAAAAAUCGGACGCUAAGAGCCAGGCCCUGCCUGCUCCUGUACCCAGACUCUUGUUUCAUCACCCACCCCUGGGCCUUCUGUUAGGGCAGCCAUCAGGCACAGCCACGUGUGACUCUUUAAAUGUGAGUUAGUUAAAAUGAAAUAAAAUAACCAGUUCGGUCGUGCUAGCCACAUUUCAAGUGCCACACGCACCUAGUAGCUACAGGAUGGCAAAGAUCUAGGACAUUUUCCACCAUCACAGGGAGUGACUGGACAGUGCAACAAAGGCAGGUCCUGGGGGCGGGGAGGACUAUCCACCCCCACCCAACCCCCACUUAAGGAUAAGGAAACUGGGGUGGGAAGGUGGGAGAUGUCACUCAAGUUUUUAAGGGAGGGAAGCAGCAUUUGAACCAGGUCUGAUUUCAAAGGAGCCCUUUCUAGAACCAUCCCCACCCCAUCCCUGCCACCAGGUGAAGGGGGACCUCGGCCCUCCCCCAGGAGACCCUCUGCAUCCUCCCUACCAGCCAUGCCCCCACUUGCCAGGCUGCCCAAGUCCUCCAAGCUCAGGUCCUGGCAGCAUCGGGAAAUUAAAGGCAGAGCGGAAAAUCUCAGCCUUCCAGGGCCCAGAGCUUGGGUACAUUUGUGAAUCACCAACCAGCCCAACAGGAGAGAACCCUGCCGACUCCUGAGAGCAACAAGCCCAGGCCUGGGGCUCCAGUGAAGAGACUAUUCCUUCCAUUAAAGCAUCCCUCCCAGCAGCCCUUCAUCCCGUCAGUGAGGACCUGGGUUGGACAGUAAAUUCUACAGAGGUGGGGAGCGGGGCCAAAAUAGAACAGCUCCUGUGAGCUACCGAGACAUCCAGUGGGUCCUCACAGCAAUAAAAUAUGAAGUAUCCUCAGUGUCCCCAUCUUAGAGAUGGGCAAACCGAGGCUCAGAGAAGUUAAAUAACCAGUCCAGAGUCACACAGCUUGAAGCUGCAGAGCUGAACAUCAAACCCAACGUUCUCGCUUUCUGCCCCCUAAUCCUCUCCACUACCCUACCAGCCUGCCCUGCCUGUUGGGGGCAACAUGCCCACUGUACAGACCAAGGCACCAGAACUCUGAGAGGGGCAGGGACCAGCCCCUGGGCACUCUGCAUGCAAGUGGCCAGGCCAGGAUUUCAACUCGCCAGAACUCACAAUGACCAGCGGUGCGGAUCUUGGACAAAACCCUCCUAGACUGUCCUCCGCUGUUGGUUUAAGAGGAUUCUCUAUGGAUUUAUGAACCAAAAAAUUUCUUCCCCCAGAGCUUAGCCUGAGCCCAGAUGGGCGUGGCGUGGCAUUGCCCAGGUAAAAAAGCCUCACUUAGGUCUAAAAGAAAUAGUAAUAAUAGCCUUUCUAACCUAUGAAAUGACCUAAGUGAGACCUAAGCCUCACUUAGGUCUAAGAGAAAUAAUAUCACAAAAGCAAAAAAAGCAAAAGUCACACCGCCCUUGCGACCUUGGGCCAGCCUGGCACCUCUGACCUGUGCCCUCAUCUGUAAAAAAUGGGAAAAAACUGUCAUCUGCCCCAGGACCUCCCAAGGUCUCCAGCUACAAAGUACCCCAGGGCUGGCCGCCAGCGUGCCAGCACUCAUCUGAUGGAGCUUUCUGAAGUCCCUGUUAUUCGCUGUGCUAAAUAAUUCAAAACCAUGUUUUCAUUUCAAAAUAAACACAGCACUGUCGCCAGAGCGAAUGCCAAAUUUGCAUGAAUGCUUAAGAUUAAAUGAGACUUCAAAGAAACUUCAGGCAUGCCGCUGGCACUGACACCCCCCCCCCAACUCCCGCCCUGCAAAUCCUGGGAAGGACAAAUUCUCAGUCUCCUGCCCCCUGGAACAAAGAUCUGUAGGUGCUGCUCAAAUAAGAAACAUAAUUUCUUUAUUCCCAUCCUCCAGGGCAGCUCCACAAGCAGGCCUACUCUAGGUUCAUUCUCGCUGCUGCACCAACGUGAUGGUGAAUAACACCAGGUCCUAAUUCUUAAGUUCCAUACCCAAACUGUGGGACCUUGGGCAAGUCGUUUAGCCUCUCUAUGCUUCAAUUUCUUCAGUGAUAAAAUGGGACGAUAAGAGUCUUGACUUCACAGGGGGGUAAAGAAGAGUAAACUGGAAGAUUCCUUUUUUUUUUUUUAAUCUUACUUUUAUUUUAUUUUAUAGACGCACCUGUGGCAUUACGGCUGCACCUGUGGCAUAUGGAAGUUUCCGAGCUAGAGGUCAAACCUGAGCUGCAGCUACAGCUGCGGCCUAGGCCACAGCCACUGCAACACCAGAUUCCAGCUGCAUCUGCAGCUUGGGGCAACGCUGGAUCCUUAACCCAUUGAGGGAGGCCAGGGAUUGAACUCGCACUCUCAUGGACACUAUGUCAGGUUCUUAACCUGCUGAGCCACAAUGGGAACUCCAAGAUUCCUAUGGAGGGGAGACCUUGGCACUGAGUAGGUGCUUUAUAGGUACUGGCUGUUAUUGUCAUUGCAUUAUAUACGGUAUAAUGCAAAAGACCAAAAGCUCACUUGACAGGUUGUAAAGUCCCUUCCCCACCUCCAAGGAUCCUUAAAAGAUACCAGAUGACCUUUCCAAAGCAUCACUUCCCCACAGGAAACAAAACCCUUUAAGAUGACACCCCUGGCCUGACUCUGGGCAGCAUGGCCUUUCCCAGGCAGCAGCCCCAGGCUCAGGCCCCCUCCUGCCCCCCUUCCCUGGGCGCCUGACGCAGGAAUUACCAGUCCCUUUGCAGGGAGCCCAGCCUCAGAGAUGUCACCUGGGGAGGCUGCUGUUGGCACCACAGAGAUGAAGAGGAAACGGAGGAGGAGGGAAAAACACACAAAAAUAAAAGCUCUCAACCCCCUAUUGUCAGCGGCCGUAUUUGAUGUGGGGGAUUUGCUGUACAGAGAGCUGCUGGAAGGAAGAAGCAGAGCCCAGCUCUCCAGCAGGGUGCACCUCUGUUUCUUCCAGAGGGGAGCCCCCUGAGGUUGGGUUAGGCAUCGGUAUGGACCCCCUCCCCCCCGCCAAAAUAAAAUCUCCCCGUGAACGCACUUCUCCACCCACAGACCUCAGGUAGGGGCAAGAAUACAGUCCUGGUACACCCCCACCUCGCAGUCAGGGGCGGGAUCCAGGCCAGGCAGCCUCCGCAUCCAGCCUGAAUGGCAAGACGCUGGGGGCCGGGGCUCCUGCGGCCUCUUUCCAAGGCGAGCCAGCGGAAGAGUGUCAGAGCGGCCACCCACCCCCCCACUCCCAAGCUGGGAGAACAAUCAACCCUUCCCAGGUCGGGCCUUUCAAGCAGCUAAAUUCGUGUUUGCAGAAGCCCUCAGAAAUCUUAAGGAGGUGGUAUGAGUAUUAUUAAUUGGGGAACAAGAACGGAUUAUGCCAAAUAAAUCCUUCCCACGGAAGGCAAACCCUUGCCAAGGGAGGGAGGGGGUGCGCGCAGCCCCGCGAGGGGUCUCCAUCCCUCACCGGGGCCUGACAGCCACAUUACCAUUUACAUGGAUUUAUCAAUAGUAUUGAUUCCCCAGCCAGCGUAAAUAGCUCGGUGGGAAGAGGCCGGGUCUGGGGCUGCUUCCCGCCCCCACGUCUGGGCACCGCAGACUCCCCGGGCACCCGGCGGAGGCGGCGGUAAAUUUCCAAGCAGGGACCAGGCAGCCACCGCGGGGAAGCCAGACAGCGCCCGGGAUGUCCUCUCGGCCGCCGCACUACCGCUGCCGAUUCACCGCUCAUCCCCCGCUCUGGGCCCUCAGCGUGAACCCCACGAUCGGACUCGAUCUGUGCAUCUGUCAAAUAGGCUUCAAGGCAUCACCUGGCCUUCUCCGUCCUCAUCCCAAAAAGCAAAGGUGGGGGGAGGGGGUGGAAAGAAGGUCCCCUCCCUUUACCAGAUGCCCAGGCAAAAGGCAAGGCAGCUUCCUUCUCACAAGAUUUCCAAGCCACUGUUUUAGGACCCAGGAAUAAUAAUAAUAACAACGGUUACAGUGGUUAUAGUAACACAUAUACAAAUACCUUCUAUGUAUUAUCCUUGUCAGUUCUCACAACAACCCUCUGAACUCGGAACUAUUAUAAUCCCAUUUUGCAGAUGAGAAGUCUGAGGCACAGAGAGGUUAAGUAAUUUGUCCAGGAUCACACUGCAGUUAAUGUGGCAAAAGUAUGAUUCCAGCCCAAGGACUUGAGUUGCAGAGUUGGCUAUGAAUGGCUCAGCUAUCCCAGCUCACAUCCCUUCCUUUUCUCUGAUGGCUGUCCCCCCACCCCAUCAAAAAAGAGAAAAAAAAAAAAAAAAAAAA
rnacentral:lncRNA from 1 species